UCUCACCGAAUUUAAGGCGAAGAGGAAAGAGCCAGAAAUCCCCGAUGUACCGGCAACUGCGGCGGUGUCUCCUCUGCGACCGGAACUAACGCCAGGAGGAGGCUUGCCCCGCCCUGAUCGUGGACAGGCGCUUCCGCCUUUUCUAUUGCGCGCGGAUUAGGAGCGAAGAGGACACAGGCCGAAGAUUGAGAAGGGGAAAUUCUGUCCUCCAACCGCGGUCCCUGCGCGCUGCAGCGGUUGUCUCCCGAGUGUGGUGGCUAUGGGGACUUGGAGAGCAUCAGAAUCCCUUGGAGGACUUGUUAUAACAGACUGCUGGGCCCCACCCGUAGUUUCUCAUUCUGUAGGCCUGGUGUGGAACCCAUGAAUGUGCAUUUCCAACAAGUUAUCUGUGAUGCUGCUGCUGGUCCGCACCUUGAGAACCCCUCAGUUAGAGGCUAUAUCAUCAGGGAGCUGGGGUACGAUCAGAUUAGAUAGUGGCAGCUUGUUUGGAACACAUGGAGUGGAGGAUGGAUAAUUUCCCAAAGGAAGAGACAGCAGUCAAAUAAAAACAACAGGAGCAUUACAUCAAGUCUUUGGGUUUAAAACAUUUUUUGGAUGAGAGGAGGCUGGAUGUUCCUGGCUCCUGGGGCAUGGGACUGUGUCAUUCCCUUCAAUUGACAACUGUGAAAAGAAGGCCAUUCGAACCCAUUCUGGCGUUGCUGGGCUCUUCACCGUGAAGUCCUCAGCUAUGUCUCUUUCUCUUCGCACUGCGGCCACAGCGUCAGCAAUGGCAAAGAACACAGAUGACCCCAGGAACAUCCCAGACUCCCCGAGGCCCUGUAAGAAGGCACAUUGGUGUAAGAAACUUCCAUACUACACUACAAGUUUCUAGAGGGUAGGGGCCAGGUCUCGUUCACCAUUGUGUCCCCAACCCCUGCACAGUGUUUUGUACACAAAAUCUUCUCAAUAAAUGUUUGUUGGCUGACUU
rnacentral:lncRNA from 1 species